AUUGAACGCUGGCGGCAUGCUUUACACAUGCAAGUCGAACGGCAGCGCGGGCUUCGGCCUGGCGGCGAGUGGCGAACGGGUGAGUAAUGCAUCUGAACGUGCCCAGUAGUGGGGGAUAGCCCGGCGAAAGCCGGAUUAAUACCGCAUACGACCUGAGGGUGAAAGCGGGGGACCGAAAGGCCUCGCGCUAUUGGAGCGGCCGAUGUCGGAUUAGCUAGUUGGUGGGGUAAAGGCUUACCAAGGCGACGAUCCGUAGCUGGUCUGAGAGGACGACCAGCCACACUGGGACUGAGACAUGGCCCAGACUCCUACGGGAGGCAGCAGUGGGGAAUUUUGGACAAUGGGGGCAACCCUGAUCCAGCCAUGCCGCGUGCGGGAAGAAGGCCUUCGGGUUGUAAACCGCUUUUGUUCGGGAAGAAAGCCUCUGGGCUAAUACCCCGGGGGGAUGACGGUACCGGAAGAAUAAGCACCGGCUAACUACGUG
rnacentral:rRNA from 1 species